rnacentral:sRNA from 1 species
GGCGUCCCGAUUUACGCUUCGUUAAGGUUUACGAGGCAUGAUCGUCUGGUCCGGAAGUCCCGGACCCGAGUGGCUCCUAUCCACUCCUCUUUUUGACGCCUCCCUGUACUUUCUUCGAGCCGUGCCCGUCACGGCUCGUUUUUU